GUUGAAGAACGUAGCGAAAUGCGAUAAGUAAUGUGAAUUGCAGAAUUCAGUGAAUCAUCGAAUCUUUGAACGCAUCUUGCGCUCCUUGGUAUUCUGAGGAGCAUGCCUGUUUGAGUGUCAUUAAAUUCUCAACCGCACUGACUUUGAAUUGGUGUGGCUUGGAUUUGGGGGGAAAAUUGUUGUGGGCUUUUUUGUAUAGUCUGCUCCCCUGAAAUUGAUUAGCGGUACCUUUGUGGAACUGUCUACAGGUGUGAUAAUUAUCUACAUCCUAGACAUCUGCUGGAAUGCUGCUUUCUAAACCUUACUUGUAUUGACAAUCUUGACCUCAAAUCAGGUAGGACUACCCGCUGAACUUAAGCAUAUCAAUAAGCGGAGGA
rnacentral:misc_RNA from 1 species